UCCUGUGCGUGACCCUUCUCGGCGACCCGGA
rnacentral:piRNA from 1 species